CCUACCUAUUCUAGAUUAAACAUUACAAUGGCCUACCUAUCCCUAGAUUAAAAUCAUUACAAUGGCAUCCCUAUCCCUGGAUUAAAAUCAUUACAAUGGCAUCCCUAUCCCUGGAUUAAAAUCAUUACAAUGGCAUCCCUAUCCCUGGAUUAAAUCAUUACAAUGGCCUACUUGCCCGAGAUUAAAAUCAUUCCAAUGGCAUACCUGUCCCUGGGGGAAUCAUCCAUCGAAAUGAUUACAAUGGCCAACCUAUCUCUGGAUUAAAUCAUUCCAUCUGAGUGACUACAACGCCUAUUUCACACGGAGAAAAUCAUUAGGGACAGCCACCCGAGCCCGGCCUGUCUCCCAUUUCCAUCACUCAGACGUGGCAAUAUAGGAGCAUCAUGACAAAACUUCCUGCACUGUUUGGAGCCUAACAAUUUCACUGUACCCUGCAAUUACAUCUGCGACCCUGUGCAUGUGACUAAUAAACAUUUAAUGAUUACAAUGGCCAACCUAUCCCUGAGGGAAGUCAUUAUUUUGCUCUUUAUUAUCCCUCCUCAGCCCUGGGUCUAAUCACCUCAUCUUCAGCCCUGGGUCUGAAUCACCUCAUCUCCAGCCCUGGGUCUAAUCACCUCAUCUCCAGCCCUGGGUCUAAUCACCUCAUCUCCAGCCCUGGGUCUAAUCACCUCAUCUCCAGCCCGGGGUCUAAUCACCUCAUCUCUAGCCCUGGUCUACAGGGCCUAGUGUCAUAAUCACCUUCUCCAUUAUCCUUCUCCUCCUCUCGCCCAAACUUAGCAAAGUGUUUUAUCUACCCAGCCUUGGGUUGUGUUGACUAAUCUUCAAACUGAAGAAAACACACAAAAAAUGUACCAGAAAUCUCCUCCUGCCUAGUUCCAGUUCAAAAACAUCAUUACAUAACAAUAUGAAAUGAGAUGCUCUUUUACAUGUUGAGGAKCACACUGAAAUAAAGGCACACUCCCAUAAUGGUGAAGGGAUUUUUUUCUUUUUUUGGAAAAACAUGUUCAACCACUUGAUGUCUCAGUCUCAAUUCGCUCCCAACUCCUUGGCCCAAGCCUUCUAUGUAUAGGGAACUGAAGAGUCUGGACAGUACAAGCAGUGUAGUGGAGGAGCUUUCACUGUGUUCCUUCCACUCUACAGAUCUGCAGACAUCAUAGGGUUACAGCCAAGGGGAUGGGUAGGGAUCAAAUUGGGACUGGGUGGACAGGUUGCAUUUAAGACCUUGCCUUGUUCAGGUGUUUGAUCUUGACUCCUGAGACCAGUCCGGCUGGCUCCUCCUCGAUGAACUCUCCCUUCAGAGCCUUCUCCACGUCUUCCUCUUCCUUCACCAUGGCCAUGCGGGGGCUGCUGCACCAGUAGGACGGCUGGKGAGAAAGGGAAUGGGAGAAAGAAAAUAAGUGGAAUGCUUCUCUUUCCUCAGCUCGUACCCUUAUGGUGAGUAUCAGAAAGAUACCUCUAUCAUAGGUCUUGUCUAUGGAGUAAACAUUAACCUAGUCAGGGAUGGGCAACUCCAGUCCUCAGGGCCGGAGUAGUCACACUCACACUUUCCC
ensembl:lncRNA